GCAUAGCUCAGCUGGUUAGACGUUAUCGAGCAUGGCGCUGAUAAUGCCAAGGUUGCAGGUUCGAUCCCCGUAUGGAACA